UGCACACCUGAAUGCAAAACGCUUUGGAUAAAAGUAUCUGCUAAAUGGCAUGUA
rfam:Salmo salar isolate Sally breed double haploid chromosome ssa12, whole genome shotgun sequence.